rnacentral:pre_miRNA from 1 species
CACCCUCUCCCUCUGUUCCGGAUUACUUGUCGCAGGUAUGGAUGUAUCUAUAUGUAUUUUAGUUCUAGAUACAUCCAUUUCUUCGAUGAGUAAUUUGGAACGGAGGGAGUAGUUU